GGGGGUAUAGCUCAGUGGUGGAGCAUUUGACUCCAGAUCAAGCGGUCCCCCGUUCAAAUCUGGGUGCCCUCU